AUUUUGAUAAGUUGAGGGACCAAUGGUAAUGAAUUUUUAAUUGAGGGACCAUUACUCCAAUUUGAUUAAAGUUGAGGUACCAUUUGUACAAUUUACUCUUAUAUAAAUUGAGUCUAGAGCGGUCGGUAAAAAGGUGAAAGCACGAGCUCCACAAGUACUACGAGGCUUGUACGACACUUGAGACAGCGCGUGCAGACCGUCCUAAGGUGUUUCUGGAGAAAGCGGGCGAAUGGCUAUGGCUUCGUACUAAUAUUUAAUUUUGACUUUUAUUUAAUAUUUAGAUUUUUUUUUCUUAAGUUAAACUAAUAUUUUUUAAUGGACAAAAAAAAUCGGCCACAAAUAGAGGAAAUCAAGACAAAAAGUCGUACGAGUACUAGAAAAAAUCGGCGACAAAUAAAGGAAAUCAGGACAAAAACCCACGCCAACUAUGGCAACGAGGUCGCAAACGAGAUUUUUGCUUAUUGUGGAGCCAAAAAUAUUCACUAGGCGACACGUGGACUUUGGACA